rnacentral:tRNA from 1 species
AGUGAAGUGCCUGAUUUAAAGGAUUACAAUGAUAAAGUAAACCAAGUAUAAAAUUUAUACCUUCACUA